UUAUAGGCUAUGAUGAGAAGAAGUAAAAUUGAUGUAUCUUUUCAGAGAGUUCUACAUUAGCUGUGAGUAGAAUAAGAAAGUUAAUUUGAAUAACAUCUCUGAGCCGUGCCCCGAAAGAUAACACCUAGUAGGCGGUAACCGGGUUGCGCCCGUUAUAGUGCUAGAGUAUCUAAGUUUUACUUAUGUACUUGAAGAGUCUAUUAUUGUGAAGUAAUAGUGAAUUAAGGUGGCAACAUGGAAUUAUAGCUUUCAUCCUUUUA
rnacentral:ncRNA from 1 species